rnacentral:rRNA from 1 species
GUGCCAGCGCGGUAAUACGGAGGGUGCAAGCGUUAUCCGGAUUUACUGGGUUUAAAGGGUGCGCAGGCGGAUAUGUAAGUCAGUGGUGAAAUCUCUAGGCUUAACCUGGAAAUUGCCGUUGAUACUAUAUAUCUUGAAUGCUGUGGAGGUAAGCGGAAUAUGUCAUGUAGCGGUGAAAUGCUUAGAUAUGACAUAGAACACCUAUUGCGAAGGCAGCUUACUACGCAGAUAUUGACGCUCAUGCACGAAAGCGUGGGGAUCAAACAGG